rnacentral:rRNA from 1 species
GACGAACGCUGGCGGCGUGCUUAACACAUGCAAGUCGAACGGAAAGGCCCUGCUUUUGUGGGGUGCUCGAGUGGCGAACGGGUGAGUAACACGUGAGUAACCUGCCCUUGACUUUGGGAUAACUUCAGGAAACUGGGGCUAAUACCGGAUAGGAGCUCCUGCUGCAUGGUGGGGGUUGGAAAGUUUCGGCGGUUGGGGAUGGACUCGCGGCUUAUCAGCUUGUUGGUGGGGUAGUGGCUUACCAAGGCUUUGACGGGUAGCCGGCCUGAGAGGGUGCCCGGCCCCAUUGGGCCUGAGUUACGCCCCAGCCUCUUCCGGGGGGAGCCGGUGGGGAUAAUGCCCCAUGGGCCGAAGGCCUGUGGCGGAACCCCGGCGUCCGGAUGACGGCCUUCGGGUUGUAAACCGCUUUCGCCUGUGACGAAGCGUGAGUGACGGUAAUGGGUAAAGAAGCACCGGCUAACUACGUG